CAAAGCAUGGCACUGAAGAUGCCAAGAUGGUACCUACUAUACCUGUGGGC
rnacentral:tRNA from 1 species